UACGUAGGGGGCUAGCGUUGUCCGGAAUUAUUGGGCGUAAAGAGCUCGUAGGCGGUCUGUCGCGUCUGCUGUGAAAACUCGGGGCUUAACCCCGGGCCUGCAGUGGGUACGGGCAGACUAGAGUGCGGUAGGGGAGACUGGAAUUCCUGGUGUAGCGGUGAAAUGCGUAGAUAUCGAGAGGAACACCUGCGGCGAAGGCGGGUUGCUGGGCUGACACUGACGCUGAGGCGCGAAAGCUAGGGGAGCGAACGGG
rnacentral:rRNA from 1 species